rnacentral:tRNA from 2 species
GCCGGGAUGGCGGAAUUGGUAGACGCGCCGGACUCAAAAUCCGGUGCUGGUAACAGUGUGAGGGUUCGAGUCCCUCUCCCGGCACCA